CUUCUGUGAUGAUACGAUGACGAGGCCGAAAGGGUUGCUUGUUGUCUCAGGAGUUCUGUGCUCACUAGGCAUGUUCUGUGCCUCUUGGCUCAGACUUUUGAAAACAGUGUCCCUGUAAGUUGAUGAUAUAGAGGCAUUUGUCUGAGGAGG
ensembl:snoRNA SNORD15 Small nucleolar RNA SNORD15